AGGAAACCAAUAUCAAUCACUAACUUCUUCAAACUCCUCUGUUUUAAAAAAAAAAAAAAUUACUUCUUCGUUCCAAGAUAAUUUCUUCUUUAUCCUUAAAAAAAACUGGUUUCCUCUUCCUUAUAAAUUUGGAUGAAGAUAAGCUCAACCUUGCAACCAUCAUCAAUAGCCAAGAUCAUCAUCAGAUGUGAUUUUGAACAAACCCAACAUGAGUGAUAAAGAGAAAAUUAGAAGGAAGAAGAAAGAAAAGGAAGAUGAAUAACAGAUGCAGUCGGAACAUCUAUAGUUUCAGAUCAAAAGUUUCCAAGUCACCAUCACAGAUCAGGUCACACCACCAUCACCACAAUACCACACCGAUUCACAACAUCAUCUAACGAAACACCAAAUUACAACGUUAACAUUAAUCUGCUUUACCAAUUGGGUCCAGAUCUUGGCGGCUUCAAAGGUGGGUCAAACUCCUCUUUCAGCUUUAAAUCUUGCUAACAGAGGAGUUUAAAAAAUAAUCUUGUUUCCUCCAUUUCUUUGCUUUAAUUUUUCAGAUAUGCAAGACUAUUGUAGAUCCCAACUCCUCCAUUUCUUUCUUUUAAUUUUUCAGAUCUGCAAGAAUCGAUGGAAUAUAUAUUUCUUUGCUUUAUUUAUUUGGACAUAUAUAAACUUGGAAAUGUACGACAAGUAAUAUAUGAUGAUUGAUUAAUUACCUGAGCAAUUACAGUAACAUAUAUACAUAUAUAUAUAUAUAUAUAUAUAUAUAUAUAUAUAUAUAUAUAUAUAUAUCCAUGGUGUAAUCCCAAAUGACAAGACAUUACUGUUAAUGACAGAGAUGAAGCUUCUCUAUUUAGCUUAGCAUUUUCGGUAUGAAUCCUUUUUGUUUCUCAUUGUAUUCUAAUGAG
rnacentral:lncRNA from 1 species